CUGCACUCUGGGACAAGCCCUGGAAACGGGGUCUAAUACCGGAUAUGACUGUCCGCCGCAUGGGGGAUGGUGUAAAGCUCCGGCGGUGCAGGAUGAGCCCGCGGCCUAUCGGCUUGUUGGUGAGGUAGUGGCUCACCAAGGCGACGACGGGUAGCCGGCCUGAGAGGGCGACCGGCCACACUGGGACUGAGACACGGCCCAGACUCCUACGGGAGGCAGCAGUGGGGAAUAUUGCACAAUGGGCGAAAGCCUGAUGCAGCGACGCCGCGUGAGGGAUGACGGCCUUCGGGUUGUAAACCUCUUUCAGCAGGGAAGAAGCGAGAGUGACGGUACCUGCAGAAGAAGCGCCGGCUAACUACGUGCCAGCAGCCGCGGUAAUACGUAGGGCGCAAGCGUUGUCCGGAAUUAUUGGGCGUAAAGAGCUCGUAGGCGGCUUGUCACGUCGGUUGUGAAAGCCCGGGGCUUAACCCCGGGUCUGCAGUCGAUACGGGCAGGCUAGAGUUCGGUAGGGGAGAUCGGAAUUCCUGGUGUAGCGGUGAAAUGCGCAGAUAUCAGGAGGAACACCGGUGGCGAAGGCGGAUCUCUGGGCCGAUACUGACGCUGAGGAGCGAAAGCGUGGGGAGCGAACAGGAUUAGAUACCCUGGUAGUCCACGCCGUAAACGGUGGGCACUAGGUGUGGGCAACAUUCCACGUUGUCCGUGCCGCAGCUAACGCAUUAAGUGCCCCGCCUGGGGAGUA
rnacentral:rRNA from 1 species